UAUAUAUUCCCUCCGUCCAGAAAUAUUUGUCCUAAAGAUGAAUGUAUCUAGACUUAUUUUAGUUAUAGAUACAUUCAUUAUACUUAUUUAUAAGAUAAGUAUUUUCGGACGGAGGUAGUAUAUA
rnacentral:pre_miRNA from 1 species